rnacentral:sRNA from 1 species
AUGUGCCACUCGUACACUCAGGUUUUGAGCGCGCCGUCCACACGCCCCGAACGAUUGCUCGCUACGUUUUUGUCAGCC